CAUUUUCUAGAGUAGCAAAGGCACUAGAACUAUCACCUUUAAUCACGUCGGGUUUCUGUUUUACAAUCUCACUUUCAUCACCAGAUUCUUUGACAAUAACUUUAGGGAAUUCCAGAGGUUUUUCAGGCCAUUUUAAAUUAGAGCAGGAGUUCAAAAAUUUGAUAAUCAUGAAUGAUUAGGGACAUAUUUCAUAUAGUUGCACAUAUAAUUCAAAUAGGUUUCUUUUGGGCUUUCUGUUAGACCUAUUGAAUUGUUUACGCUACAACUUUAUUCUUUU
rnacentral:lncRNA from 1 species